CUUGAUCUAGGAAAACACUCUGCGGUAAUUUUUAAGAAAAAUUCACAAACAAAACAGCAGGCUAAAUUGGGUAUCCGAUGAGUUGAAAUUCGGGUUUCGGGUUCGAGUUCAUGUCCUUUAGGUCCUAAAAAUAAGAGGGGUUGUACUAGAGAUAGUAGCAACCGUGGAAAUCAUAAGACCUCAUUUGCUCUACGGGGUCUUGGGAGUCGUUUUAAAUCUUCCGGGAACUCGCGAAUUCCUUUAGCAGAGUCCAUGGAGGUGAUGGUGGAGUUACUUUCUCCCCAAGGUCCUAGUAAAACUAUGAAUGUCAAACUGGAUACCGCGGGUCUAAGUAUGGGUUGAGAUACUGUCUCUCAACAGUAAGGAAUGGUUUCCUAUUUUCUGUUAAUUUUUUCAUGAAUUGUACAAUAUUAUCUUGGAAUUGUUAGGGUUGUGCAGUUGUUAAAUUUCCAAGAAUUUUUCGAGAACAGAACUUGGAGUAAAAACCAGAUAUUGUUAGUUUGCUCAAGCCAAAACUUAGUGGGGCCAAGGCAGAUAUGAUUAUUGCAAACUUAGGUUUCCAAUUUUCUCACCGUGUGGAGGCAAUUGGAUAUUCUGGGGGUAUAUGGCUUGGCUAGAAAGACUCAAUCCGUCUUGAGGUGGUUCGCAGUCAUCCUUAGUUCAUUCUGACUCGGGUUUGGUAAAUGUCUUCUCCACAAUCGAUUUUCAUAUCCUUUGUGUAUGGUAGUCCAAAUCGGCAAAUACGUAACGAUUUUUAGAAGGAUUUAGGGUCUUUGAUUCUAUUUGGACAAACUCUGUGGGUUGCUAUUAGAGAUUUCAGCGCAAUCCUCUCGUCUUCUAAGAAAUCUAGUGGCCUCUCUAGAGGAAGGAGAUGUCCCCAUUUUUGAGACUUUGUGGAUUCAACCGAACUUCAUGAUUUAGGGUUUAGAGGUCCUCCUUUCACUUGGCAUAAAGGUGCUCUAUUCGAGAGAUUAGAUCGUUUUUUAAGUAAUAAAACUUGGGUCCGAAGCUUUCCCAACAACUUGGUUACCCACCUUCUAAAGAUUAAGUCUGAUCAUCGGCCGCUUCUUCUGGCUCAAAAUCUAGAACUUAUUCUACCUCGAGGGAGACCUUUUCGAUUUUUGGCUAGAUGGAUUGAACAUCCUGAUUUUGAUAUUUUUAAAUGAAAAUUGGGUCUUCAUUGGUAACAUGUUUGAAUCUCUGGUUAAGCUCACUCGUAGUCUUAAGGAGUGGAAUAAACAAGUUUACAAGCAUAUCACCACUCGUAAGCAAACCUUUGUCAGUAAAAUUGCCAAUAUCCAAAGGAAAAUAGACUUCUCGGGCUUGAACCGACUAGCUCAGAUUGAUUUGAACCUUAGACAAGAGCUGAAAAGCAUGCUACAUCACAAGGAACUUCUUUGAAAACAAAAAGCGAGGUGCGAUUAGUUGAAAUUGGGGGACCGAAAUACUAAGUUUUUCUACACCCGUACCUUGCAAAGAAUGAAGAAUAACCAUAUAUCUACCAUUUAUGAUUCUGACGGUAAUUAGAUUUAUGAUUUGGAGGCCAUUGAAGCUGAGGUGAAUGACCUCUUUCAAAGUUUGUAUGGGGAGAUUCCUAGGCCUUUGGGUACCUUUCUACCUAGCAAAUUUCCACAACUUGAUCCCGAAGACAUUAAUUUCUUGGGAAAGUCAGUUACAAAUGUUGAAAUUAAGGAGGCUCUCUUUGAUAUGGCACCUUUUAAAGCUCCGAUAGUAAUGGUUUUCAUGCAUUCUUCUUCCAAAAACAGUGGGUUACAAUUGGUGGAGCUGUUUGUGAUUGGGUUGGGAGGGUCUUUGAUGGAAACAUUAUUGACCCUGAUCUGAAUAAUACCUAAGGUCCAAAAUCAGAAAGGUUUUGGUCAGUUCCGUACAAUAAGUUUCUGCUCUGUCCUCUACAAGCUAGUGAUGAAGGUAGGAACAUCAUUGACAACAAUAUCAUUGCACAAGAUGUAAAUUAUUUCAGAAGGAGUCAGAGAAAAUGAAAGUGGAUGACGAUUAAAAUUGACUUGGAAAAAGCCUAUGAUAGAGUGAAGUGAGACUUCAUCAGUGUUGCCCUCCGAGCUGUAGGUAUUCCUGAGUACCUCAAGAAUGUUAUAAUGUCCUCUAUCUUUAAUUCUAACAUGCAGGUUAUGUGGGAUGGACUUCAUUUAUCUAAAUUCAGGUCUGCCAGAGGUAUCCGAUAAGGUUUUCCUCUUUCCCUACUUGUUUGUGUUGUGCAUGGAAUGGCUUGGCCAUUUAAUUCAUUCAGCUAUUUCGGAAGGAAAGUGGUGUCCAAUACAUCUAUCUCGAUCUGGACCAGCUAUCUCGCACUUGUUUUUUGCUAAUGACUUUGUCAUUUUCAGUAAAACAGACUUGCAGUAUGGUAGAGUUCUAAAAGAUAUUUUGGACAGUUCUUGUGAGUUUUCUAGGCAUAAAAUUAAUGCUAGGAAGACUAACAUCUUUUUCUCUAAAGGGGUGGAUCUUUUUAUGGUUGAUAUGAGUAACACUCUGUUUGGUUUUCAAAGAGUUCAUAAUCUCUGUCAUUACCUUGGAGUUCCCCUUUUUCAUUAGAGGGUGACAAACAACAUUUUGCAAUUUAUGGUUGAGAAAGUACGUGGGAAAUUACAGAAUUGGGAAGCCAAAAAACUCUCUAUCGCUGGUCGUAUCAUUUUAGCUCAGUCGGUUCUUUUAUCCAUUCCUAGCUACUUCAAGCAAUCCAUUAUAAUACCUAGGAAAAUUAGUGAUGAGAUUGGAAGUUUGGUAAAACAAUUUAUUUGGGGUUCUUCAGAUAGGAAAAAGAGGAUGUCUCUUGUGGGAUGGGAUUCCAUCUAUCAAUCUAAAUGGUGUGGUGGUCUUGGUCUGAGAAAACUUCACGAUCAAAAUAUCUCCUUUCUGCUGAAGUUGGGGUUCAAUAUUAUGUCUGAUAAAGAAGCUUUAUGGGUUCAUAUGUUUAGAGCAAAGUAUCAAAUGAAGGAUAACUUACGGGACUGUGUUGCUCGGGAUAAGAGUUCUUUUCUUUGAAAAUCUCUUUUAAAAAUUCGGUCUCUUUCACAGGAGAAUUUAUUCUGGUCUGUAGGAUAUAGUAAUAAAAUUCACUGCUGGAAAGAUAAUUGGAUUCCAAGUAGAGGUGCUCAUGGUCCGGGCCGGGUUCAGGCCGGGCCGGGCCCAAGAAAAAAUUUUGGCCCGAGUCCUAGGCCCGGCCCGGCCCGAAAUUUGGGCCUAGAAUUUUGCCCAGGCCCAGCCCGGGAAAAAAUUCAUAAGCCCGGGCCCGGCCCGUUUUUUAAAUAAAUACCAAAAAAUUAUUUUAAAAAUUAAAACAAAAAUUAAAAAAGUAUUUUAAAAAUAUUUUAUAAUUAAAAAAAUUUUAAAAAUAUUUAAAAUUAAAAAAAUUUUAAAAAAGUAUUUUAAAAGUAUUUUAAAAUUAAAAAAAUAAAAAAAUAAAAAUAUUUAUUAUAUUCGGGCCGGGCCGGGCCGAGCCCAGGCCAAAAAAGUGGUGCCCGAGGCCCGGCCUAUUUUUUUAUCGGGCCUCAUUUUUUGCCCAAGCCAAUAUUUCGGGCCUAUAUUUUUACCCAAACCCUCCCAUAUUUCGGGCGGGCCGUCGAGCCGGGCCGGGCCACCCGGCCCAUGAGUAGCUCUAAUUCCAAGUAUAUGGCCACCGGUUAGACAUGUUCAUACUAAUGCUAAGCUUGACUUAAACUGUUUUCUCAACGAGAUGAUCACUGAGGAAGGUUCGUGGAACUUGGAUUUAUUUUGGGUUUGGUUAUCGGAAGAUGGGAUCCUACUUAUUAAGGGCAUCCUUCCUCCACAUCCUUUUGAAGGAUCUGAUAAAAUCUCUUGGAGCCACACUUCGUCUGGUGCUUUUUCUAUUAAAACAACUUAUAAGGUUUUAAAGGAAGGUGAUUAGAAUCUGAAAGAUGAGAAAUGAAAUACUGUUUGGAAGACUCUAGAUCCCCAAAGGGAUCAUGUCUUUAUCUGGACUGCUUUAUAAGGAAGACUCUUCAACAAUGUGGAAAGAGUCAAAAGAUGGUUAGCGACUGGUCCCUUCUGUCCUCUUUGUGGUUAUCACUCAGAAGACAUUUUGCAUAUUCUCAGAGACUAUACAGUUGCUAAGGAAGUAUGUAAUCAGGUCAACCCAGGUAAUCAUCUAUCGAAUUUUUUCUCUAAUAAUACACAUGACUAGUUUUUUUUUUUUUAAUAUGCAAGAUAGUAGUAAGAUCCACGAGGGAGGAGCUAGUUGGGCUUGUCUUUUUGGGUUACUCAUUUGGCGCUUAUGGAAUAACCGUAAUUUAUUCAUCUUUCAAGGAAGAUCAUAGAGCUCGAGGGAGAUAGUUUAAGUUUCUUAUAGUUGGGCAAUUCAUUUCUUCUCAUCAUCUCGAGAAGUACCGAUUGACUGCCUCGAACGUUCUUUUGAAGUGCAUACUAGUAGGGAAUGAAUUUUUCUUAAUAUUGAUGGUGCAGUGCAACUGGAUUCUGGAUACGUUGCUGUUGAGGGAGUUGUUCGUGGUAAACAUGGAGAUUGGAUCGUUGGCUAUCAUUGGUACCUUGGAAAAUGUUCAAUCUUUGAUCUGAACUGUGGGGCAUUUUUGAAAGACUCAAGCUUAUUCAACUUAGAGGCCAAGAUCAAGUUAUCAUUCAAUUUGACAGUUUGGAAGUUGUUAAAGCCAUCCUUGGAAGCACUUCCAUUGUUUCGAACUCAGCCUUUAUUAGACGAAUCCAAAAUAUCUUAACUCUGGAAAACCAGCGGUUUUUGUGGUACAUCCCGAAAGAACAGAAUCAAGUUGCAGAUUGCUUGGCUAAACAAGCUUUGACCGGAAAAGACGAAUUGUAGGAGUUUGAGGACCCACCUAUGGUGGUCUGCACUUCUUAUGAGAUGGACAAGUCUAAGGGUGAUCUUUCUUUUUAGAAUGUUGUUAUCUAAUUAGUUUGGUAUUAUUUUAUUAUAACCAAAAAAUGAAUAAAUGUUGAAAAAAAAUUGUUGAAAAUUUAAGAAUCGACAAUUUAAGUACUAAAUUUAAGUUAUAAGAUUGAUUUGA